UACAGAGGGGGCAAGCGUUGUUCGGAAUUACUGGGCGUAAAGGGUGCGUAGGUGGUCGUUUAAGUCCGUUGUGAAAUCCCUGGGCUCAACCUGGGAAUGGCAGUGGAUACUGGACGGCUAGAAUGCGGUAGAGGGUAGUGGAAUUCCCGGUGUAGCAGUGAAAUGCGUAGAGAUCGGGAGGAACACCAGUGGCGAAGGCGGUUGCCUGGAGCUUUGCUGACGCUGAGGCGCGAAAGCGUGGGGAGCGAUCCGG
rnacentral:rRNA from 1 species